AAAGGGAGAAUAAUGUCAUGUGGCGAUUAGGCAGUGAUCCUUGAUGUGAGAGCAGGAGGCUUACAAAAAUGGACAUCUUCUCAUCUAAUAUAUUGGAGGAUAAAGGGCCCCCUGACCAUCAGGUCCAGUCGUGUCCAACUCUGGGGUUGCGGCGCUCAUCUCGCUCUAUAGGCUGAUGGAGCCAGCGUUCGUCUGCAGACAGCUUCCAGGUCAUGCGGCCAGCAUGACAAAGCUGCUUCUGGCGAACCAGAGCAGCGCACGGAAACACCGUUUACCUUCCCGCUGGAGCGGACCCUA